GUAGAGUCAUCGACUUCGGGUUGUUCUGCACCCUCAUCUAGGGCUAAAAUAGCAGCUUGCUUGUUUUCGAGAACCUUCUGAAGAGAAAUUGAGAGUGAAACGUUCAUUGAAUUCUCGCGCUUUUCCAGGACUUCGAGGGAUGCUUUGGUUUCGGAAUCUAGGGUUUGGAUUUUAGCUUUUAAGGCUUCGGAUUUCUUGAGGAUGUCUUGUUCGAGUGAAGUGAAGUGAUCGGAGAGCUCUUUCCACAGGAGUGUGCAGCUUGUCAUUAAAGAAGUUUGGCGCUGGAAGUCGUCGAAACUCGGCGGCGGCGCCACCGAGUCGAGUUCGCCGCGAUCGGCGAGUGAACCCAUCGUUGUUGAAUUAUUG
rnacentral:lncRNA from 1 species